rnacentral:rRNA from 1 species
UACGUAGGGGGCAAGCGUUAUCCGGAUUCACUGGGCGUAAAGGGAGCGCAGGCGGCAUGGCAAGUCUGAUGUGAAAACCCGGGGCCCAACCCCGGGAGUGCAUUGGAAACUGCCAGGCUGGAGUGUCGGAGGGGUAAGCGGAAUCCCUAGUGUAGCGGUGAAAUGCGUAGAUAUUAGGAGGAACACCAGUGGCGAAGGCGGCUUACUGGACGACUACUGACGCUGAGGCUCGAAAGCGUGGGGAGCAAACAGG